AUUGAAUACUGACAGUUCUGAAGUUAGAGCUUUAUCACAUUGGAGAGAACUUCUAGAAAAGGUUGCAGAUAAUAUUAUUUCACAUGAACAAGGAUUGGAUAACCAACAGGAUUCUGGUGAAAAAGGAUUAUAGAAGUUAUCUCUAGAUCACGAGGAGUUAUCUUUAGACUUUCUUUUGUGUAACUUUGAUGGGAAUAGUUAUUUUUUUAUUGGAUGAAUGUUGGAUGCACUUAUAUUAAUGAUUAUAGA